rnacentral:lncRNA from 1 species
GGUUUAGAAGAGGAAGAGAGGGCGUCUGGUGGCUGCUGCGGUGCUGCUGUCCCAGCGGCGCUACAGCUGCGCUGUUGACGGCGGGAGUAGAGGCGGCAGCGGCUGGCUGCUCGCCGGAGCAGGGGGCCGGCGUCAGAUGGCUGUCUGGCCACGACGGAGAGAGAGGUUGGGGGAGAGAGGAAGGCUGGGAAGAAAGGGGUC